UCCAAAGAUUUGACAUAGCGGUGUCUCCUGUAAACAAUGGACAAUGGCGAAGCGGACUAUCAGUUCGUACUUUCUUCCUAAACCUCAUGAUAUAGAGAAGACAAAUCCCGAGAAUGAGUCCGACUCAGAUUGUGAGGAAACGGUCGCGGCGGAAAAAGGCAGGAAAUUCAGCUUUCGCGAUGAGUGGCUGCGCGAGUUCACCCGGCUGAGGUAUUUCAGGGAGACCAAUUCAAUGAACUGUAAAUUCUGCUGUCGAUUCCCACAACAUGCGGGGAACACGAAAUGUGCUGAUAAGACUGGCACUACACAAUUAAAACACGACACGCUGAUCAAACACAACGCCAGUCUGAAACAUCAAAUGUGCCGCGACCCGUGCAAUGAAAGUGCAGCUCCACUCCCAGUCGCAUUUAGAAGACAAGAGGCUGCUAACCAGUGCGCCGAGGAGGCCGAAUUGCGAUUGAAGUUUAACACGGCGUAUUUCAUUGCCAAAGAAGAACUGCCUUUUACGAAAUUUAAAGGCCAACUUGAUCUACAAAGGAAGAAUGGUGUCAAACUAAACGCAACAUACAAUAACGACACAGCAUGCGCACAGUUUGUUGGCAUCAUCGCAGAUACACUGAAACGGAAGACGUACGAGAAGAUUAAGGACGCUCCUUAUCUGUCAAUCAUGAUUGAUGGGGACACAGAUACGUCAACAAAAGAGUGUGAAAUCAUAUAUGCCAGGAUCCUGCAACAAGGGAAACCAACAAAUGUUUUGAUUGGCCACAUCGAAGUGCAACAUGCACAUGCUCACGGUGUAUAUGAUGCCACCAAAGAGGCCUUCAAGAAACUAGGGACAGAAACAGGGUGGUUAGACAAGACAGUUGCCAUGUCAGUGAGAUGCAAGCCAGGUGGUAGGCGAGCAGAAUUACUGGCAGACCGUCAGGCCCAGAGAAGACAACAAGAGAGUGAUGGUGAGGCUCACCCUUUGUACAAAUAUCAGGGGGUCACCAUCAAAGGAGAAGUCUCUGGUCUGGGAGCAGAUGGACUCUCAAUGGAAAGCACACCUCAGCUGCAACAGUCGAGUGCACUGUGCUGCACCUGAAGCAGAGGUUCAGCAGUCUACUUGAUGAAGGGUCCUCAUUAGCAACAACGAGGGCAGUGAGGUCAUUCAAAAUAUUAAAUCACGAUUCCUGGCCUGAACAAAGACAUCUCCUGACAGAUUAUGGUGCAGAGGAGCUGGACUUCCUGCUGGACCACUUCUCCCCCAUCCUAACAAGAAAUGCCUGUGAUACCAAGCUGGCAAGAGAGGAGUAUCAGUCGAUGAACAUUUCCAUUGUUACAAACUAUAUGGACAAGUCAUACCAUGCCCUGUGGGGGAUGAUGUUGACCAAAAUGCCGUUCUGCUCCGACUACAAAGUAAAUAUGAUAUUCUCAUUAAUUUAAUUGGCAUAUGACUUUUUGAUUGACUGAAACCUAAACUAUUAUUCUAUUCUUUGGAGAACAUCCUACAUCUUGUACACAUGAUGCUUGCACUCCCAGUGUCUUCUGCUAUGUGCGAGAGAGGAUUCUCUUCCCAGAAGAGGAUUAAGUCAGAUGUCAGGGGGUCUCUUCAUGUAGACACUGUUGAGGACUUCAUCAGAAUUAGUGUGGAGGGACCGAACAUCGAUGAUUUUGAUGCCAAAGAGGCUGUUGACAUGUGGCUCAAUCAAGGAGGCCUAAUUACAAGGGCUGGCCAACACAGGCACCUUCUCCCCCACCAAGGGGUGAUCUUUUGUAGGAAGUGUUAAUGCACAAGUUAUGUCUACAACUUGUUCUGUUGUUGUCAGUAGAGCAUAAAUAUUCGUUUUGUAUUUUUAAGCUGUAUAACUGGUGUAUGUUAUUAAAACUAUUGCACAAGUUUAUAAGAUUGUAUAUUGUCAAAUUAUUUAUCAGUAAUACAGUAAAAAUGAUGGGAAAACUUUGCAAGUCGAUUUAUAGUGUGCGCCCCUAAAUUUUCUGCUUGCGCCCCUACAAUUUUAAGUUAGGGGCCACUGUGCUCCUUGUAAAAAAAGUUAGUCUGGAGCCCUGAUGUCUGUAUUGGGUCGGCUGUAACUCAGUGGGGAUUCGUCCAGUAACCAGAAGGUACCCGGUUCGAUUCCCCGCUCUCCCCAUAGUUGCGUGUCGAAGUGUCCUUGAGCAAGACACUGAACCCCCAGUUGCUCCCUGGGGGCUUUACUGCAGCCCACUGCUCCUUAAUAUCCCAGGAUGGGUCAAAUACAGAGAAGAAUGUACCCACUGGGAUAAAGAAAGGAUAUAUUAUAUUAUUACCUUCGCAUUGAA